rnacentral:lncRNA from 1 species
GAUCUACUGUUCCUACAGUUAAUUCAGUCAAAGAAACCAUUUGAUCUGAAUGUGUGACCGAAUGACCAGUGGUUUGACUGAAUUCACAGCCACCGUGGCUGCUCUGCCCAUGCGAGUCCACAAGGGCUUUGUUUGCUUGCUGGCAGUCUCUGCACAGAGAACACACAGCAUAUGCCAGGUGGCCAUGUGUCUGAGGCAGAGGGAAGGGAGAACAAAGCAAAAUUGAAUAUACUCAACAGUAAACAACUUUAAGCCUGAGCUUCAGAUCACAAAUCUCCCUCUGCCGCUGCUGACAUGCUCAGCUUGAACGUGGUUGCAGGAGACAAAGGAACCUGCUC